AUUGAACGCUGGCGGCAUGCCUUACACAUGCAAGUCGAACGGUAACAGGUCUUCGGAUGCUGACGAGUGGCGAACGGGUGAGUAAUACAUCGGAACGUGCCUAGUAGUGGGGGAUAACUACUCGAAAGAGUGGCUAAUACCGCAUGAGAUCUACGGAUGAAAGCAGGGGAUCGCAAGACCUUGUGCUACUAGAGCGGCCGAUGGCAGAUUAGGUAGUUGGUGGGAUAAAAGCUUACCAAGCCGACGAUCUGUAGCUGGUCUGAGAGGACGAUCAGCCACACUGGGCAUGAGACACGGCCCAGACUCCUACGGGAGGCAGCAGUGGGGAAUUUUGGACAAUGGGCGCAAGCCUGAUCCAGCAAUGCCGCGUGCAGGAUGAAGGCCUUCGGGUUGUAAACUGCUUUUGUACGGAACGAAAAGCCCUGGGUUAAUACCCUGGGGUCAUGACGGUACCGUAGAAUAAGCACCGGCUAACUACGUGCCAGCCGCCGCCGUAACAC
rnacentral:rRNA from 1 species